GAUGAAGAACGUAGCGAAAUGCGAUAAGUAAUGUGAAUUGCAGAAUUCAGUGAAUCAUCGAAUCUUUGAACGCACAUUGCGCCCCUUGGUAUUCCGAGGGGCAUGCCUGUUCGAGCGUCAUUACACCACUCAAGCUAUGCUUGGUAUUGGGUGUCGUCCUUAGUUGGGCGCGCCUUAAAGACCUCGGCGAGGCCUCCCCGGCUUUAGGCGUAGUAGAAUUUAUUCGAACGUCUGUCAAAGGAGAGGAACUCUGCCGACUGAAACCUUUAGUUUUACAGGUUGACCUCUGAUCAGGUAGGGAUACCCGCUGAACUUAAGCAUAUCAAUAAGCGGAGGA
rnacentral:misc_RNA from 1 species